rnacentral:rRNA from 1 species
AUUGAACGCUGGCGGCAUGCUUUACACAUGCAAGUCGAACGGUAACAGGCCUUCGGGUGCUGACGAGUGGCGAACGGGUGAGUAAUGCAUCGGAACGUACCCAGAGGUGGGGGAUAACGCAGCGAAAGCUGUGCUAAUACCGCAUGUGAUCUGAGGAUGAAAGCGGGGGACCGAGCAGCAAUGUUUGGCCUCGCGCCUUUGGAGCGGCCGAUGUCGGAUUAGCUAGUUGGUGGGGUAAAGGCCUACCAAGGCGACGAUCCGUAGCUGGUCUGAGAGGACGACCAGCCACACUGGGACUGAGACAAGGCCCAGACUCCUAAGGGAGGCAGCAGUGGGGAAUUUUGGACAAUGGGCGCAAGCCUGAUCCAGCAAUGCCGCGUGCGGGAAGAAGGCCUUCGGGUUGUAAACCGCUUUUGGCAGGAACGAAACGGUGUCCGCUAAUACCGGGCGCUAAUGACGGUACCUGCAGAAUAAGCACCGGCUAACUACGUG